rnacentral:rRNA from 1 species
UACGUAGGGUGCAAGCGUUGUCCGGAAUUAUUGGGCGUAAAGAGCGUGUAGGCGGCCUCGUAAGUCCGCUGUGAAAGCCCAGGGCUCAACCCUGGAAAGCCGGUGGAUACUGCGAGGCUAGAGUCCGGAAGGGGCGAGUGGAAUUCCUGGUGUAGCGGUGAAAUGCGCAGAUAUCAGGAGGAACACCAAUGGCGAAGGCAGCUCGCUGGGACGGUACUGACGCUGAGACGCGAAAGCGUGGGGAGCAAACAGG